rnacentral:rRNA from 1 species
ACGCUGGCGGCGUGCCUAAUACAUGCAAGUAGAACGCUGAAGAGAGGAGCUUGCUCUUCUUGGAUGAGUUGCGAACGGGUGAGUAACGCGUAGGUAACCUGCCUUAUAGCGGGGGAUAACUAUUGGAAACGAUAGCUAAUACCGCAUAACAAUAGGUGACACAUGUCAUUUAUUUGAAAGGGGCAAUUGCUCCACUACAAGAUGGACCUGCGUUGUAUUAGCUAGUAGGUGAGGUAACGGCUCACCUAGGCGACGAUACAUAGCCGACCUGAGAGGGUGAUCGGCCACACUGGGACUGAGACACGGCCCGGACUCCUACGGGAGGCAGCAGUAGGGAAUCUUCGGCAAUGGGGGCAACCCUGACCGAGCAACGCCGCGUGAGUGAAGAAGGUUUUCGGAUCGUAAAGCUCUGUUGUAAGUCAAGAACGAGUGUGAGAGUGGAAAGUUCACACUGUGACGGUAGCUUACCAGAAAGGGACGGCUAACUACGUGCCAGCAGCCGCGGUAAUACGUAGGUCCCGAGCGUUGUCCGGAUUUAUUGGGCGUAAAGCGAGCGCAGGCGGUUUGAUAAGUCUGAAGUUAAAGGCUGUGGCUCAACCAUAGUUCGCUUUGGAAACUGUCAAACUUGAGUGCAGAAGGGGAGAGUGGAAUUCCAUGUGUAGCGGUGAAAUGCGUAGAUAUAUGGAGGAACACCGGUGGCGAAAGCGGCUCUCUGGUCUGUAACUGACGCUGAGGCUCGAAAGCGUGGGGAGCGAACAGGAUUAGAUACCCUGGUAGUCCACGCCGUAAACGAUGAGUGCUAGGUGUUGGAUCCUUUCCGGGAUUCAGUGCCGCAGCUAACGCAUUAAGCACUCCGCCUGGGGAGUACGACCGCAAGGUUGAAACUCAAAGGAAUUGACGGGGGCCCGCA